UAGAGAUCUGGAGGAAUACCGGUGGCGAAGGCGGCCCCCUGGACGAAGACUGACGCUCAGGUGCGAAAGCGUGGGGAGCAAACAGGAUUAGAUACCCUGGUAGUCCACGCCGUAAACGAUGUCGACUUGGAGGUUGUGCCCUUGAGGCGUGGCUUCCGGAGCUAACGCGUUAAGUCGACCGCCUGGGGAGUACGGCCGCAAGGUUAAAACUCAAAUGAAUUGACGGGGGCCCGCACAAGCGGUGGAGCAUGUGGUUUAAUUCGAUGCAACGCGAAGAACCUUACCUGGUCUUGACAUCCACGGAAGUUUUCAGAGAUGAGAAUGUGCCUUCGGGAACCGUGAGACAGGUGCUGCAUGGCUGUCGUCAGCUCGUGUUGUGAAAUGUUGGGUUAAGUCCCGCAACGAGCGCAACCCUUAUCCUUUGUUGCCAGCGGUCCGGCCGGGAACUCAAAGGAGACUGCCAGUGAUAAACUGGAGGAAGGUGGGGAUGACGUCAAGUCAUCAUGGCCCUUACGACCAGGGCUACACACGUGCUACAAUGGCGCAUACAAAGAGAAGCGACCUCGCGAGAGCAAGCGGACCUCAUAAAGUGCGUCGUAGUCCGGAUUGGAGUCUGCAACUCGACUCCAUGAAGUCGGAAUCGCUAGUAAUCGUGGAUCAGAAUGCCACGGUGAAUACGUUCCCGGGCCUUGUACACACCGCCCGUCACACCAUGGGAGUGGGUUGCAAAAGAAGUAGGUAGCUUAACCUUCGGGAGGGCGCUUACCACUUUGUGAUUCAUGACUGGGGUGAAGUCGUAACAAGGUAACCGUAGGGGAACCUGCGGUUGGAUCACCUCCUUACCUUAAAGAAGC
rnacentral:rRNA from 1 species